UACGUAGGGGGCAAGCGUUGUCCGGAUUUACUGGGCGUAAAGAGCGUGUAGGCGGCCAAGCAGGUCCGUUGUGAAAACUGGAGGCUUAACCUCCAGACGUCGACGGAAACCGCGUGGCUAGAGUCCGGAAGAGGAGAGUGGAAUUCCUGGUGUAGCGGUGAAAUGCGCAGAUAUCAGGAAGAACACCCGUGGCUAAGGCGGUUCUCUAGUACGGUACUGACGCUGAGACGCGAAAGCGUGGGGAGCGAACAGG
rnacentral:rRNA from 1 species